GACGAACCGUGCGAACGUUGUUCGGAAUCACUGGGCUUAAAGGGCGCGUAGGCGGCGCGGGCAGUCAACGGUGAAAGCUUGGGGCUCAACCCCGAGUCGGCCGUCGAUACUCCCGUGCUUGAGCACUGUAGAGGCGUGUGGAAUUCCGGGUGUAGUGGUGAAAUGCGUAGAGAUCCGGAGGAACACCAGUGGCGAAGGCGACACGCUGGGCCGUACCUGACACUGAGGCGCGAUAGCAUGGGGAGCAAACAGG
rnacentral:rRNA from 1 species